rnacentral:rRNA from 1 species
UAGGGAAUUUUCGGCAAUGGGGGGAACCCUGACCGAGCAAUGCCGCGUGAAGGAAGAAGGUUUUCGGAUUGUAAACUUCUGUUAUAUGGGAAGAAUAAAGCUUAUAGGAAAUGAUAAGCAGAUGACGGUACCAUAUGAGAAAGCCACGGCUAACUACGUGCCAGCAGCCGCGGUAAUACGUAGGUGGCAAGCGUUAUCCGGAAUUAUUGGGCGUAAAGAGUGCGCAGGCGGUUUAGAAAGUCUGGGGUGAAAGACUGAAGCUCAACUUCAGUAAGCCUUGGAAACUGUUAGACUAGAGUGCAGGAGAGGGUAAUGGAAUUCCAUGUGUAGCGGUGAAAUGCGUAGAUAUAUGGAGGAACACCAGUGGCGAAGGCGAUUACCUGGCCUGUAACUGACGCUC